UUUUUCUUGUGCCCUUGAGCUGCCUCCUUUGUUGUAAAAAAAAAAUAUAUAUAUAUAUAUAUAUAUAUAUAUAUAUAUAUAUAUAUAUAUAUAUAUAUAUAUAUAUAUAUAUAUAUAUAUAUAUAUAUAUAUAUAUAUAUAUAUAUAUAUAUAUAUAUACCUUAUUCUUAAUGUAUUUUUACUGUCGAUUAACGAUGAAAACAUUACCAGUUAUAAUGUUGGGUUGUACUUUCCCUACAACACAUUUCCCUCCACCUUCAGGCUGUCUGAUGGGCAGCUCACCUCCUCCUUCAGAGCCGCCCAACACACUCUAGUAUUCAGGAAAGCAAUGGUAGUGGAUGUCUGCCAAUUUAUAAGCCCCAUUUUGAUAGUUCUCCUGACAGUUGAUUGAAAGGUGCUUACAGAUUAGCAAACAUAUCCUUGCCACCUUUCCCCUCUCAUUACAGGUAACUUAGAGCUCUCCCACAACCACAUUAGCAACCUUCAGUAACUUAACAAGGUACAGUAACUCAAUAUAAUGGAUGGAAGCCACUCUUCGUACUUGUAGGCAACACAAUAAUGAGUGGUACAUACUCACUACACUCGUGUUAAAAAUGGUUUCUUCCUCUCUUCUCCCGCAAUACACAGAGGCCUGACCUGUCACCACACAGCUCCUGGUAGGUCAACACUGGGUAUGAUUUAUGGCAUGCCGUGGGCGAGGGACAGACCUCCACAGUAUGGCUGGGCUGGGAAGACGGACAACCAUGGCUAGGUACACAAGAUGAUCAGAUCUCACUGGCUGCUCAGCACACAGAACAAAACAAAAUCAUAAAGGGUUCAGGGUGUAGAUUCUUUGGUAUGCAACAAAGGUGUGAAGACCCAGGACAACAGCACUGACAGGAACGUAAUGUUAGCCUUUACAAACUUCUGGGCAUGUGAGGUUUGUAUUUAAUUAUACUUGAAAUAUAAACAAAUAAAACAAUGUCACUUGAAUAGGCUGUAGGAGGCAGGACGAUCACUGCCCAUAACCUGAUCCACUUGACUUCAGAAUACCCUAAGAGUUACCUUUGGCACUAGUUUACUGAUCUCUCCUCUGCAGGGUCCUUAACAAACACCCCUGAUAAUUUUAUGCUUGCUUCCUUCUGUGUGUGCAUUUUGAGCAGUAACGUCCCAAGAAACUCCUCAGUCAACAUUUUCACAUAAGCGCUUCAUACAAAAAUACAAUGUGCUAGACUUGUGCAGCACUGAGAGUUUUGUGUCUUGUUUGUGCUGCAAGCAAACCACACAUCAGCAGUGAGGUUAGACACCGGGAAACUGUUCAUUGUCGCACUUCAGACAUGACCGGUGCACAUAUACACACACACUGCAUCGAGGGACACUGCCCAAAUCAUUACAAAAAACCUGCAUUGCAUAGCGUAUGGGGAAAUUAUAAACACACACACACACGCUCACACACAUCCAUACAAAAAUAAAAUGGUUAUAUAUAAUUAUGUACAUACACUAACACACUGGUACAGCCUUCCAGAAAGUCAGAAUUUGUGUAUGAUUAUCACAUCAAUCAGUGUUGUGUCGCAGAGAUGAGGGAUGGGCCCAGUGCAUUCCCAUCUCCCUCCAUUACACUGCUGCUGAGGGUGUGAGGGAACCAAAUAGAAGGUGCAGGAGGUGGACAGGCUUAGCUACCGACAGGAAGAUUAGAAACUUGCAUGUGGCACCCAAAUCAGAGGUUCGUUGAGUCAAAUACGUAUCAAUCAUCAGAGGAAAAAAAAGAGACUCAUAUAAUAGGGUAUGAGGGAACCAAAUAAGAGGUGCAGGAGGUGGACUGACUUAGCUACCAACAGGAAGGGAUCAGAAACUUGCAUGUGACACCCUCAUUAGUGGUUCGUUGACUCAAAUACAUAUCACCGAAGGAAAAUUACCAAGAAAUAAAAAAAUACAAAUUAACAAAGGCAAAUCUGGCCGAACGACUCCUCAAAUAAUACUCUGAAUAGAUCCGUGGAAGUACAUACAUCAAUUAAAUGAAUAGGGAAGAAAUAACUUGAAUUAUUACUCAACGCACUAGAGGAGACAAAACUCAACCCAAGAGCUGCCGAUAUUAAAGUCAAACUAGUUCUCGCCAAUGCACCAACGGAGAAGAAACACAAGAUCAAGAUCGAGAUAUACGAACGGAGUCUUUCAAACCAAACUGGAAAAGAAUAACAUGAAAUAACACUCACCAACGCACCAGAGUACACAAAACCUAAGGAAAGCUGCCGAUAUUCCGAUA